GAGUUUGAUCCUGGCUCAGAUUGAACGCUGGCGGCAUGCCUUACACAUGCAAGUCGAACGGCAGCAUGAUCUAGCUUGCUAGAUUGAUGGCGAGUGGCGAACGGGUGAGUAAUACAUCGGAACGUGCCCUGUAGUGGGGGAUAACUAGUCGAAAGAUUAGCUAAUACCGCAUACGACCUGAGGGUGAAAGUGGGGGACCGCAAGGCCUCAUGCUAUAGGAGCGGCCGAUGUCUGAUUAGCUAGUUGGUGGGGUAAAGGCCCACCAAGGCGACGAUCAGUAGCUGGUCUGAGAGGACGAUCAGCCACACUGGGACUGAGACACGGCCCAGACUCCUACGGGAGGCAGCAGUGGGGAAUUUUGGACAAUGGGCGAAAGCCUGAUCCAGCAAUGCCGCGUGUGUGAAGAAGGCCUUCGGGUUGUAAAGCACUUUUGUCCGGAAAGAAAUGGSUCUGGUUAAUACCUGGGGUCGAUGACGUACCGAGAUUUGUUGA
rnacentral:rRNA from 1 species